CUUGAGGGGAAAACAGAGAUCAGAGGGAGAGUGUGACGGAACAGAGGAAGGAGGAUCGCUGGGCUGUGCUGCUCCCUGCGCCGGUUGUCAUCGCUGCCGCGAGAGCUAGAGAAGGAGAGAAGUAAAACCGCGAAGAGAGAGAGAUCGACGGAGACGUUCACGCUGUUCGUCCUCGUUACUGCCAUGCGUUGCCGCCGCCGCCGUUAGUUCAGCUGCCGUCGAGCUCGCAUCAACCGUCGCCAUGGAAACUGCCACCAUCAUCUCCAAAGCCGCAUCAUCGAUUAGGUUAGGGAGAGGGAGAAUCGCGAGCAACCAGAGGAGGAGAAGAACGCGUGGUGGAGGAGAAAGCCAUCUUCCCCGUUGCUGCUAUAGUCGUCCGUACUACUGCCGCUGAAGGAAGGCCGUUCAGUCACCCUCAUCAAGUUGCAUGUGGCUGUUAGAGCUCCUUGUCUCUGCUCUGAUCGUCGGAAGUCACCGACGAAGUUUUGGUCGCCCCAUUCCACUAUUCUUUUGAAUUCCGGUUGUGUAAAUGCCGCUGCAAAUUGUUCGAUGAUAUUGCUAUUGUGGAGAGUUGUUGGUGAGGCUAAUGCCACUGCUGUUGCUAAUCCGGUUUGAGGCUGUUGCUACUGCUGCGAGUUAGAACGAAGUUGGAGUCACGCCUAACCUUGUGGGUUUCGACUAACUAAGUGACAGGUUCAGAGACUCAGUUUGAAGCCGCGGGCGAUUAGGAGUUUUAUUUAAGUUAAGUUUAUGUGUUGAGUUGCUUUUAUAGAAUUCCCUCGCCCUUGUUAUUUUUUAUUUUAUUUUAUACAG